rnacentral:rRNA from 1 species
AGCACGUAGGUGGGUUUGUAAGUCAGAUGUGAAAGCCUUCUGCUCAACGGAAGAAUUGCAUCUGAAACUGCGAGUCUUGAGUGUAGGAGGGGAGAAUGGAACUUCUGGUGGAGCGGUGAAAUGCGUAGAUAUCAGAAGGAACGCCGGCGGCGAAAGCGAUUCUCUGGCCUAUUACUGACACUCAGUGUGCGAAAGCUAGGGGAGCAAACGGGAUUAGAUACCCCGGUAGUCCUAGCCGUAAACGAUGGGCACUAAGUAGAGGGGUUUU